rnacentral:rRNA from 1 species
AACGAACGCUGGCGGCAUGCCUAACACAUGCAAGUCGAACGAAGUGGCGCACGGGUGAGUAACGCGUGGGAAUCUGCCCUUGGUUCGGAAUAACAGCUGGAAACGGCUGCUAAUACCGGAUGCUUGAGGAUGAGCCCGAGUUGGAUUAGGUAGUUGGUGGGGUCAAGGCCUACCAAGCCGACGAUCCAUAGCUGGUCUGAGAGGAUGAUCAGCCACACUGGGACUGAGAAACGGCCCAGACUCCUACGAGAGGCACCAGUGGGGGAUAUUGGACAGUGGGCGAAUGCCUGAUCCAGCAAUGCCGCGUGAGGAAUGAAGGCCCUAGGGUUGGAAAGCUCUUUUACCCGGGAAUCUGUACCUGGAGAAUAAGCCCCGGCUAACUCCGUGCCAGCAGCCGCGGUAAUUC